CUCCGGUGGUCCCAGUUGGGGCACGCCAUGGGAGUUCCCCAUCCAUCACGGUCGCCGUUGUCAAGGGAUUCUUCAAGGAGAUGUCAAGGACGCCAUGGACAUGCAGCUCCUCAAGAUCAAUUAAGGAAUCAAUCUCAUGAUGGUUGAUGCUUGAUGCAGCGGAGGAUUGGGCCUCGCAUUAUUUUUUCCAGAAUUGGGUGUGGGUACUCUCUAAACUGGAUUGAGUGAG